rnacentral:lncRNA from 1 species
GUGGUUGCUCAUUUCUCAAACUGCCGAACCCUUUCUUUUAUCUGCAUCCCUGCUAUUCGUUCCUCAAAAAGCCACCAGAAGGCCUCGGUGCCCCCUUUCCGCCUCGAUUUCUCUUUUCACCUCUUCCCAUUCCUCGAAAGGAUUAAAUGUUUAUCUCUCCAACGCGCAAGCUGGAAAGGCGGAAGGCGAAUGCCUCUAUGCUGCUCCGGCAAGCGCCUGCGGGGCUGCGAAAAGUAAAGGCAACGAACAACGUGGGGGAAAUCGUCGCGAAUCGAUCGGCCACAAUAGUUGGAAUCCCAGGAGCGCUCCAACUUACCCAAAAUAUGACAUUGAAGCCAAAUAUGAAGUAUUUGAUGCAACAACUGACUUCAGGACCCUUGUAGUGCUUCCCGGACAUCCUCUGGGUUCAUGAAGACACUUGCCCCGGCAGCCCGAGUUUGGAGCUCCGAAGCACCGUUGCUCGGAGCAGCCCGGCGGGGAGCAGGAGCUCAGGGACACCGCACGGGGC